CACCUGGAAACAGAUGCUAAUACCGGAUAACAACAGAUGAUGCCUAUCAACUGUUUAAAAGAUGGUUCUGCUAUCACUCUUGGAUGGACCUGCGGUGCAUUAGCUAGUUGGUAGGGUAACGGCCUACCAAGGCGAUGAUGCAUAGCCGAGUUGAGAGACUGAUCGGCCACAUUGGGACUGAGACACGGCCCAAACUCCUACGGGAGGCAGCAGCC
rnacentral:rRNA from 1 species